UCAGCAGCCGCGGUAAUACGUAGGGGGCGAGCGUUGUCCGGAAUUACUGGGCGUAAAGAGCAUGUAGGCGGGUAUUUAAGUCAGGAGUGAAAACUAUGGGCUCAACUCAUAGCCUGCUCUUGAAACUGGAUACCUUGAGGGUAUGAGAGGAAAGCGGAAUUCCCAGUGUAGCGGUGAAAUGCGUAGAUAUUGGGAGGAACACCAGUGGCGAAGGCGGCUUUCUGGCAUACAACUGACGCUGAGAUGCGAAAGCGUGGGGAGCGAACGGGAUUAGAUACCCCGGUAGUCCACGCCGUAAACGAUGGGUACUAGGUGUAGGAGGUAUCGACCCCUUCUGUGCCGUAGUUAACACAAUAAGUACCCCGCCUGGGGAGUACGGCCGCAAGGUUGAAACUCAAAGGAAUUGACGGGGGCCCGCACAAGC
rnacentral:rRNA from 1 species